rnacentral:rRNA from 1 species
UACGAAGGGUGCAAGCGUUACUCGGAAUUACUGGGCGUAAAGCGUGCGUAGGUGGUGAGUUAAGUCUGUCGUGAAAGCCCCGGGCUCAACCUGGGAAUGGCGAUGGAUACUGGCUCGCUAGAGUGCGGUAGAGGAGAGUGGAAUUCCCGGUGUAGCAGUGAAAUGCGUAGAGAUCCGGAAGAACACCGGUGGCGAAGGCGGCCUGCUGGGCAGUAGCUGACACUGAGGCGCGACAGCGUGGGGAGCAAACAGG